ensembl:snRNA U4 U4 spliceosomal RNA
CAAUUAGUGCAAUGGCAGUAUCAUAACCAAUGAGGUUAAUCUGGGGCAUGAUUAUUGCUAAUUGAAAACUUCUCUACCAGGGCCUGUAUGAAUGAUGCAGUCAAACUGCCCAAUGUACCUAUUUAGG